UACGUAGGGUGCGAGCGUUAAUCGGAAUUACUGGGCGUAAAGCGUGCGCAGGCGGCUUUGCAAGACAGAUGUGAAAUCCCCGGGCUCAACCUGGGAACCGCAUUUGUGACUGCAAGGCUGGAGUGCGGCAGAGGGGGAUGGAAUUCCGCGUGUAGCAGUGAAAUGCGUAGAUAUGCGGAGGAACACCGAUGGCGAAGGCAAUCCCCUGGGCCUGCACUGACGCUCAUGCACGAAAGCGUGGGGAGCAAACAGG
rnacentral:rRNA from 1 species